AUUGAACGCUGGCGGCAGGCCUAACACAUGCAAGUCGAACGGUAACAGGAAGAAGCUUGCUUCUUUGCUGACGAGUGGCGGACGGGUGAGUAAUGUCUGGGAAACUGCCUGAUGGAGGGGGAUAACUACUGGAAACGGUAGCUAAUACCGCAUAACGUCGCAAGACCAAAGAGGGGGACCUUCGGGCCUCUUGCCAUCGGAUGUGCACAGAUGGGAUUAGCUAGUAGGUGGGGUAACGGCUCACCUAGGCGACGAUCCCUAGCUGGUCUGAGAGGAUGACCAGCCACACUGGAACUGAGACACGGUCCAGACUCCUACGGGAGGCAGCAGUGGGGAAUAUUGCACAAUGGGCGCAAGCCUGAUGCAGCCAUGCCGCGUGUAUGAAGAAGGCCUUCGGGUUGUAAAGUACUUUCAGCGGGGAGGAAGGGAGUAAAGUUAAUACCUUUGCUCAUUGACGUUACCCGCAGAAGAAGCACCGGCUAACUCCGUGCCAGCAGCCGCGGUAACAC
rnacentral:rRNA from 1 species